GUUGGACUCUUGAGUACUCUGUGAUAUCUAAUGAGGGGAGGUGGUGUUUGGGGAAGGUUCAAUCUUUGGAAGACAGAAAUUCAAGGUUAACAGGAAGCAAACUGACAAGAGUCAAUUUCAGAUUUUUUGUUCACAAUAAUUGCCGUUGUGUAAGAAGAAAGGAUUGAAUGAGAAAAUCUCUGCCCGUGAAAGAUGCUUCCGAUGGUCUCUAGCAGAAGCUCCUUAGUGUGGUCAACUGUCAGUGUAUCCCCACAACUACCCUGAAACCACAAAACAUUCUAUUUGAUUAAAAAUUAAUGUUAUAUUAGAGAAGCAGAGUACCAUCUUGAUCUUUAAAGCUGUGAGGUUUUGAGUUCGGAAAGUACUAUCAGGUACCUCACAUGACGAAACAAGCAUUGCUCCUUAAGGGGUGGUAACAUUGGUGUCAGAGAGUUCGAGGCCGAUAUAAGUCAUGGGUUCUAUUAAUCUGGUGAACUUCCAUCUUUUCUUCUCCAAGAUAAUCUUAAUCCAUAGCUUAUUCCCAUCGAUUUAGUCACCUGAACAUCUUCCUACAAAAAAUGGCAUAAAUAAAAAGAGUGACAUAACAAAAUUUUCAGACGAUGACUGCAUUUCAAGAAGCUGGUCACUAAGAAGCUUCGCAUUCUGCUGUAGCUUCUGGAUGUAAGUAAUUGCAUCCUCAAUUACGGUCGCCUUGUUCAUC